AAAAGCUGAUUAGGGUUAUUAUUUGUGCCCCGUGUUUUGUUUGUUUAAUUGUGGCAAUAGGAA
rnacentral:tRNA from 1 species